AGAACUAGCAAGAUCUUUUUCUUUCAAACUUCCAACAUGUCAAAAAUAUCCUCUUGGCACUCCCCGCUGGCUGCAGCCUGACACGCCGCGCGGCCCCCCAGUCUCCCCAGCCCCCUCCCCCAGGCAUGGCCCAGGGCCUCGCCUCACUAUGGCAGCAGCACGGCACAGCACCCUUGACUUCAUGCUCGGCACCAAAGCUGAUGGUGAGACCAUUCUGAAAGGCCUCCAGUCCAUUUUCCAGGAGCAGGGGAUGAUGGGGUCGGUGCACACCUGGCAGGACCAUGGCUAUUUAGCGACCUACGUAAACAAAAACGGCAGCUUUGCCAAUCUGAGAAUUUACCCGCAUGGAUUGGUGUUGCUGGACCUUCAGAGUUACGACAGUAAUGCGCAAGGCAAAGAAGUUGACAGUCUUUUGAGCAAAGUAGAAGAAAGAAUGAAAGAAUUGAGUCAGGACAGUACUGAGCGGGUGAAGCGAUCACCACCCAUAGUUCGAGGAGGGGCCAUUGACAGAUGCUGGCCCACUGCAGAUGGCCGCCUGGUUGAGUACGACAUAGAUGAAGUGGGGUAUGAUGAAGACUCACCUUACCAGAACAUUAAAAUUUUACACUCAAAACAAUUUGGAAAUAUUCUCAUCCUCAGUGGGGAUGUUAAUUUGGCGGAAAGUGAUCUGGCGUAUACCCGGGCCAUCAUGGGCAGCGGCAAAGAAGAUUACACUGGCAAAGAUGUACUGAUUCUAGGAGGCGGAGAUGGGGGCAUAUUAUGUGAAAUAGUCAAACUGAAACCAAAGAUGGUCACUAUGGUAGAGAUUGACCAAAUGGUGAUUGACGCAUGUAAGAAAUCCAUGCGAAAAACAUGUGGUGAUGUCCUAGACAAUCUUAAAGGAGACUGCUAUCAGGUUCUAACAGAAGACUGUAUUCCAGUACUGAAGAGGUACGCCAAAGAAGGGAGAGAGUUUGAUUAUGUGAUUAAUGAUUUGACAGCUGUUCCAAUCUCCACAUCUCCGGAAGAAGAUUCCACAUGGGAGUUUCUCAGACUGAUUCUUGACCUCUCAAUGAAAGUAUUGAAACAGGAUGGGAAAUAUUUUACACAGGGGAACUGUGUCAAUUUGACUGAAGCCCUGUCACUCUAUGAAGGACAGCUGGGGCACCUGUAUUGUCCUGUGGAAUUCUUGAAGGAGAUCGUCUGUGUCCCUUCAUACUUGGAAUUGUGGAUAUUUUACACUGUUUGGAAGAAAGCUAAACCUUGAAAAUCAAUUUCCCCUAAUCAUGUGUGCUGCAAAUAGCCUUCCUGACCUUCAUAUGCUGUACAUGACAUCGAAAGGAGUCAGGCAAUUAAUUGUGAAUUCCUUCAAGUUUCCUUUUUUAAAUUAUUUUUUAAUUUAAAAAUCAAAUGGAAAAUGUAUAUUUUUAUGAACUAGAGUUAUUUUUUUGAAGGAUGAUUAGACAGCACAGUGAAGGCUGCUAAAUGCACUGAACCUCUAGAAUGUGAUUUUUGUUUUUGUUUUUCUGUGUGGGCUUUUUUUGUUUCUGUUUUGGUAGACUUCGAAUUUGAUUGUUUGGAGGAAUGAACAUCAUUGUUUUCUUCUGGAGGGAAGCUCUUGACGGGAGUUCCUUUUCCCCCCAAAUUGACAUAGGUAUUAAAAUUUGGUGCUUAUAAGGAAAGACUUUUAAAAAUGAAUAGCAAUGCUUCGAUUAAAAUUACAAAUGAGAAAAAAAAAA